CGGGCGUUUGGGGAUUUGAGGUAGAGACCGUUGCCACUGGGAUUCACUGUGCAAACGCAUCCACCACGUUUUAGGUACAAUCCAGACCUUAAGGCCUUGUUGACGGCUACACCACCCAAACCGCUCAAGGCUCCAACAGCCAAGGCUGGUAGAAUAGUCUUUUGCUAUCAUGGGGAGUGCCCUCAUUGCCAGCACUGCCAACAUGGGUAGGAAUCCACCUACUUUUUGCAUGUUUACCUUCAUUUGGGUGGUACUCAG
rnacentral:lncRNA from 1 species